rnacentral:rRNA from 1 species
UGGAUAAUCUGCCCUGCACAGGGGGACAGCAGCUAGAAAUGGCUGCUAAUACCGCAUAAGCCUACAGCCUCGCAUAAGGGAGUAGGAAAAGAAAUUCGGUGCAGGAUGAGUCCGCGUCUGAUUAGCUAGUUGGAGGGGUAAAAGCCCACCAAAGCAACGAUCAGUAGCUGGUCUGAGAGGACGACCAGCCACACUGGGACUGAGACACGGCCCAGACUCCUACGGGAGGCAGCAG